GACGAACGCUGGCGGCGUGCCUAAUACAUGCAAGUCGAACGAGAGCAACCGGUGCUUGCCCUGGUCAAUCUAGUGGCGAACGGGUGAGUAACACGUGGGUAACCUGCCCAUCAGAGGGGGAUAACAUCCGGAAACGGAUGCUAAAACCGCAUAGGUCUUCGAACCGCAUGGUUUGAAGAGGAAAAGAGGCGCAAGCUUCUGCUGAUGGAUGGACCCGCGGUGCAUUAGCUAGUUGGUGAGGUAACGGCUCCCCAAGGCCGGGAUGCAUAGCCGACCUGAGAGGGUGAUCGGCCACAUUGGGACUGAGACACGGCCCAAACUCCUACGGGAGGCAGCAGUAGGGAAUCUUCCGCAAUGGACGCAAGUCUGACGGAGCAACGCCGCGUGAGUGAAGAAGGUGUUCGGAUCGUAAAACUCUGAUGUUAGAGAAGAACAAGUGCUAGAGUAACUGUUAGCGCCUUGACGGUAUCUAACCAGAAAGCCACGGCUAACUACGUG
rnacentral:rRNA from 1 species